AUUAUCUAGAAGUUCAAGCUAAAAAUUCUACAUUUCCGAUAUGCGAAACCCACAUUAGAUUAAAUUCAUUUUUUUUGGAGAAGAGAUCGUUCCCAACGUGCAUCAAACCCAGUACAUCCACAUGAGAAAUUUACCACUGGACCAACAGCUCGUUGGUUACUUCAUUGUUUUCCUUUUCGUCAAUAUCAUUUAAUUACUUCGGAUUUUAGUUAGUAAUAUUAUAAAACAAUAAUUUCGUUAUAUAGAUGAA
rnacentral:sRNA from 1 species